CCCGAAACCAGGUGAUCUACCCAUGUCCAGGGUGAAGUUCAGGUAACACUGAAUGGAGGCCCGAACCCACGCACGUUGAAAAGUGCGGGGAUGAGGUGUGGGUAGCGGAGAAAUUCCAAUCGAACCUGGAGAUAGCUGGUUCUCCCCGAAAUAGCUUUAGGGCUAGCCUUAAGUGUAAGAGUCUUGGAGGUAGAGCACUGAUUGAACUAGGGGUCCUCAUCGGAUUACCGAAUUCAGUCAAACUCCGAAUGCCAAUGACUUAUCCUUAGGAGUCAGACUGCGAGUGAUAAGAUCCGUAGUCAAGAGGGAAACAGCCCAGAUCGCCAGCUAAGGUCCCAAAGUGUGUAUUAAGUGGAAAAGGAUGUGGAGUUGCUUAGACAACUAGGAUGUUGGCUCAGAAGCAGCCACCAUUUAAAGAGUGCGUAAUAGCUCACUAGUCGAGUGACUCUGCGCCGAAAAUGUACCGGGGCUAAAUACACCACCGAAGCUGCGAAUUGAUACCAAUGGUAUCAGUGGUAGGGGAGCGUUCUAAGUGCAGUGAAGUCAGACCGGAAGGACUGGUGGAGCGCUUAGAAGUGAGAAUGCCGGUAUGAGUAGCGAAAGACGGGUGAGAAUCCCGUCCACCGAAUGCCUAAGGUUUCCUGAGGAAGGCUCGUCCGCUCAGGGUUAGUCAGGACCUAAGCCGAGGCCGACAGGCGUAGGCGAUGGACAACAGGUUGAUAUUCCUGUACCACCUCUUUAUCGUUUGAGCAAUGGAGGGACGCAGAAGGAUAGAAGAAGCGUGCGAUUGGUUGUGCACGUCCAAGCAGUUAGGCUGAUAAGUAGGCAAAUCCGCUUAUCGUGAAGGCUGAGCUGUGAUGGGGAAGCUCCUUAUGGAGCGAAGUCUUUGAUUCCCCGCUGCCAAGAAAAGCUUCUAGCGAGAUAAAAGGUGCCUGUACCGCAAACCGACACAGGUAGGCGAGGAGAGAAUCCUAAGGUGUGCGAGAGAACUCUGGUUAAGGAACUCGGCAAAAUGACCCCGUAACUUCGGGAGAAGGGGUGCUUUCUUAACGGAAAGCCGCAGUGAAUAGGCCCAAGCGACUGUUUAGCAAAAACACAGGUCUCUGCGAAGCCGUAAGGCGAAGUAUAGGGGCUGACACCUGCCCGGUGCUGGAAGGUUAAGGAGAGGGGUUAGCGUAAGCGAAGCUCUGAACUGAAGCCCCAGUAAACGGCGGCCGUAACUAUAACGGUCCUAAGGUAGCGAAAUUCCUUGUCGGGUAAGUUCCGACCCGCACGAAAGGUGUAACGAUUUGGGCACUGUCUCAACCAGAGACUCGGUGAAAUUAUAGUACCUGUGAAGAUGCAGGUUACCCGCGACAGGACGGAAAGACCCCGUGGAGCUUUACUGUAGCCUGAUAUUGAAUUUUGGUACAGUUUGUACAGGAUAGGCGGGAGCCAUUGAAACCGGAGCGCUAGCUUCGGUGGAGGCGCUGGUGGGAUACCGCCCUGACUGUAUUGAAAUUCUAACCUACGGGUCUUAUCGACCCGGGAGACAGUGUCAGGUGGGCAGUUUGACUGGGGCGGUCGCCUCCUAAAGUGUAACGGAGGCGCCCAAAGGUUCCCUCAGAAUGGUUGGAAAUCAUUCGUAGAGUGCAAAGGCAUAAGGGAGCUUGACUGCGAGACCUACAAGUCGAGCAGGGACGAAAGUCGGGCUUAGUGAUCCGGUGGUUCCGCAUGGAAGGGCCAUCGCUCAACGGAUAAAAGCUACCCCGGGGAUAACAGGCUUAUCUCCCCCAAGAGUCCACAUCGACGGGGAGGUUUGGCACCUCGAUGUCGGCUCAUCGCAUCCUGGGGCUGUAGUCGGUCCCAAGGGUUGGGCUGUUCGCCCAUUAAAGCGGUACGCGAGCUGGGUUCAGAACGUCGUGAGACAGUUCGGUCCCUAUCCGUCGUGGGCGCAGGAAAUUUGAGAGGAGCUGUCCUUAGUACGAGAGGACCGGGAUGGACGCACCGCUGGUGUACCAGUUGUUCUGCCAAGGGCAUAGCUGGGUAGCUAUGUGCGGAAGGGAUAAGUGCUGAAAGCAUCUAAGCAUGAAGCCCCCCUCAAGAUGAGAUUUCCCAUAGCGUAAGCUAGUAAGAUCCCUGAAAGAUGAUCAGGUUGAUAGGUUCGAGGUGGAAGCAUGGUGACAUGUGGAGCUGACGAAUACUAAUAGAUCGAGGACUUAACCAU
rnacentral:rRNA from 1 species